rnacentral:rRNA from 1 species
AGGAUGUCGGAUUAUUGGGCGUAAGCGCGCGCAGGCGGUUCCUUAAGUCUGAUGUGAAAGCCCCCGGCUCAACCGGGGAGGGUCAUUGGAAACUGGGGAACUUGAGUGCAGAAGAGGAGAGCGGAAUUCCACGUGUAGCGGUGAAAUGCGUAGAGAUGUGGAGGAACACCAGUGGCGAAGGCGGCUCUCUGGUCUGUAACUGACGCUGAGGCGCGAAAGCGUGGGGAGCGAACAGGAUUAGAUACCCUGGUAGUCCACGCCGUAAACGAUGAGUGCUAAGUGUUAGAGGGUUUCCGCCCUUUAGUGCUGCAGCAAACGCAUUAAGCACUCCGCCUGGGGAGUACGGCCGCAAGGCUGAAACUCAAAGGAAUUGACGGGGGCCCGCACAAGCGGUGGAGCAUGUGGUUUAAUUCGAAGCAACGCGAAGAACCUUACCAGGUCUUGACAUCCUCUGACAACCCUAGAGAUAGGGCGUUCCCCUUCGGGGGACAGAGUGACAGGUGGUGCAUGGUUGUCGUCAGCUUGUGUCGUGAGAUGUUGGGUUAAGUCCCGCAACGAGCGCAACCCUUGAUCUUAGUUGCCAGCAUUCAGUUGGGCACUCUAAGGUGACUGCCGGUGACAAACCGGAGGAAGGGUGGGGGAUGACGUCAAAUCAUCAUGCCCCUUAUGACCUGGGCUACACACGUGCUACAAUGGGA